GUAAUAAUAUAAUUAGAAAAGCAACAACUCUCAAACCUUAAUCCCUACGUAAAUUCUUGGAAAAGUUGAUCAAUCGCCUUUAUUUAAUUAAUACUUUUAUUUAUUUUUUGUGAAUACGCGUUGAUGCUUGGCGGUUAAUACGGUGGGGAAUAUAUACCGCAGCCUCAAAAUUUCUUGUUUUUGUGUGUGAACACAACACCAACUUUCUGUUUAUCCCUCUUCUUUAUUUUGUUAGGAAUCUAGUUCCAUUUCUUUAGCUUAGGAAAAAAUAAAAUCCAAAAUGUGAAAACUCUUUUGGGAAUUCAUACACUUUCUUUCAGGGAAUUCAUAUACAUUUAAGAAAGUGAAAUGGGAAAGGCUAAACUUUAUAAUAAAGUAAACUAAAUAUAAUUCAAUCAAAAUUCAACAAGUACGAUUUUGACACACACUCUUCUAUGCAAGAAAACCUUUCCAAUCACACAAGAAUUUUCUGUAUAUAAAGUGGUGAAGCUUAGGUUGGAAUUAAAUGUUUUUCAAGAGUUUCCAUUGAUAAAAAACCUUAAACUAAUUCUCUAAGUCCAAGAUGCAAAACCAAGCAAACCAACCUCCUCCAGGUCUCUCUCUCUCUCUCUCUCUCUCUCUGAAAUGCAUUUCACAUAUAACUAACUGCUGCAUGCAGGCUAUCCAACUGAGAAUCCUGCUCCCCCAGCAGGGAAGAAGAAGACGAGGCGCCCGUCGUCGCGGACCAAGGCCAAGGGAGACAGGGGCUUCAUAGAGGGAUGCCUCUGGGGUUUAUGCUGCUGCUGGCUUUGCGAAGUAUGUUUCGACUAAUUUCAGACAGAAGCAACCUAGACACAUGCUAAAUCACUCUAAUCUCCUUCCAAAUCUAGUUGGUUUUGUAGUUUCCCAUGUC